GCAUGUAUUAGGUUGGUGCAAAAGUAAUCGCAGUUUUUGUCAUUGAAAGUAAUGGCAAAACCACAAUUUUGCACCAACCUA
rnacentral:miRNA from 1 species